GACGAACGCUGGCGGCGUGCUUAACACAUGCAGGUCGAACGGAAAGGCCCUGCUUUUGUGGGGUGCUCGAGUGGCGAACGGGUGAGUAACACGUGAGUAACCUGCCCUUGACUUUGGGAUAACUUCAGGAAACUGGGGCUAAUACCGGAUAGGAGCUCCUGCUGCUUGGUGGGGGUUGGAAAGUUUCGGCGGUUGGGGAUGGACUCGCGGCUUAUCAGCUUGUUGGUGGGGUAGUGGCUUACGAAGGCCUUGACGGGUCGCCGGCCUGAGAGGGUGACCGGGCACAUUGGGACUGAGAUACGGCCCAGACUCCUACGGGAGGCAGCAGUGGGAAAUAUUGCACAAUGGGCGGAAGCCUGAUGCAGCAACGCCGCGUGCGUGAUGACGGCCUUCGGGUUAUAAACCGCUUUCUCCUGUGACGAAGCGUGAGUGACGGUAAUGGGUAAAGAAGCACCGGCUAACUACGUG
rnacentral:rRNA from 1 species